GCUUCCUACCCUGUUGCGCUCCAUCCUAAUCGACUCCCCUCGGCCUUCCCCAGCUUUGGCCCUGGCAGCAGGUCCCCUCCACCUGCCCCACAGCCGCGGUUCCUGCCUCGCUACUUCAGUUUCAAGUUGUUCCUUGCGAAGGUGUUGCGUGCAGGUCUGUGGUGAGGACACAAAUUUGGGGGUCCAGGUCCUUGCGUGAAUGUGCAAGGAAUUUAGAACCUGCAUCUUUAAUAUAACAUGGUUAGUAGUAUGGGAGUUCCUAUCAAGACUGACAUUUGGAAGUUAUGCUAGCUUCAUCAGUUAUACAAAACUAGACUCAAUGUAAUUUAUUUUGGUGCUUGCAAUGAGUAUUAGACAGAGGGAUGAUGAACACAUACUUCACCCAGUGUAUAGCCAUGGUGACAAAAAAAAAUUAGACAGAAAAA